AUUGAACGCUGGCGGCAGGCCUAACACAUGCAAGUCGAGCGGAUGAAGGGAGCUUGCUCCCGGAUUCAGCGGCGGACGGGUGAGUAAUGCCUAGGAAUCUGCCUGGUAGUGGGGGAUAACGUCCGGAAACGGGCGCUAAUACCGCAUACGUCCUGAGGGAGAAAGUGGGGGAUCUUCGGACCUCACGCUAUCAGAUGAGCCUAGGUCGGAUUAGCUAGUUGGUGGGGUAAAGGCCUACCAAGGCGACGAUCCGUAACUGGUCUGAGAGGAUGAUCAGUCACACUGGAACUGAGACACGGUCCAGACUCCUACGGGAGGCAGCAGUGGGGAAUAUUGGACAAUGGGCGAAAGCCUGAUCCAGCCAUGCCGCGUGUGUGAAGAAGGUCUUCGGAUUGUAAAGCACUUUAAGUUGGGAGGAAGGGCAGUAAGUUAAUACCUUGCUGUUUUGACGUUACCAACAGAAUAAGCACCGGCUAACUUCGUG
rnacentral:rRNA from 1 species